GCGCCCAUAGCUCAACUGGAUAGAGUACUUGAUUACGAAUCAAGCGGUUAGAGGUUCGACUCCUCUUGGGCGCA
rnacentral:tRNA from 1 species